rnacentral:rRNA from 1 species
UUGGUGCUUGCAUCAUGAUUUACAUUUGAGUGAGUGGCGAACUGGUGAGUAACACGUGGGAAACCUGCCCAGAAGCGGGGGAUAACACCUGGAAACAGAUGCUAAUACCGCAUAACAACUUGGACCGCAUGGUCCGAGCUUGAAAGAUGGCUUCGGCUAUCACUUUUGGAUGGUCCCGCGGCGUAUUAGCUAGAUGGUGGGGUAACGGCUCACCAUGGCAAUGAUACGUAGCCGACCUGAGAGGGUAAUCGGCCACAUUGGGACUGAGACACGGCCCAAACUCCUACGGGAGGCAGCAGUAGGGAAUCUUCCACAAUGGACGAAAGUCUGAUGGAGCAACGCCGCGUGAGUGAAGAAGGGUUUCGGCUCGUAAAACUCUGUUGUUAAAGAAGAACAUAUCUGAGAGUAACUGUUCAGGUAUUGACGGUAUUUAACCAGAAAGCCACGGCUAACUACGUGCCAGCAGCCGCGGUAAUACGUAGGUGGCAAGCGUUGUCCGGAUUUAUUGGGCGUAAAGCGAGCGCAGGCGGUUUUUUAAAUCUGAUGUGAAACCCUUCGGGUCAACCGAAGAAGUGCAUCGGAAACUGGGAAACUUGAGUGCAGAAGAGGACAGUGGAACUCCAUGUGUAGCGGUGAAAUGCGUAGAUAUAUGGAAGAACACCAGUGGCGAAGGCGGCUGUCUGGUCUGUAACUGACGCUGAGGCUCGAAAGUAUGGGUAGCAAACAGGAUUAGAUACCCUGGUAGUCCAUACCGUAAACGAUGAAUGCUAAGUGUUGGAGGGUUUCCGCCCUUCAGUGCUGCAGCUAACGCAUUAAGCAUUCCGCCUGGGGAGUACGGCCGCAAGGCUGAAACUCAAAGGAAUUGACGGGGGCCCGCACAAGCGGUGGAGCAUGUGGUUUAAUUCGAAGCUACGCGAAGAACCUUACCAGGUCUUGACAUACUAUGCAAAUCUAAGAGAUUAGACGUUCCCUUCGGGGACAUGGAUACAGGUGGUGCAUGGUUGUCGUCAGCUCGUGUCGUGAGAUGUUGGGUUAAGUCCCGCAACGAGCGCAACCCUUAUUAUCAGUUGCCAGCAUUAAGUUGGGCACUCUGGUGAGACUGCCGGUGACAAACCGGAGGAAGGUGGGGAUGACGUCAAAUCAUCAUGCCCCUUAUGACCUGGGCUACACACGUGCUACAAUGGAUGGUACAACGAGUUGCGAACUCGCGAGAGUAAGCUAAUCUCUUAAAGCCAUUCUCAGUUCGGAUUGUAGGCUGCAACUCGCCUACAUGAAGUCGGAAUCGCUAGUAAUCGCGGAUCAGCAUGCCGCGGUGAAUACGUUCCCGGGCCUUGUACACACCGCCCGUCACACCAUGAGAGUUUG